rnacentral:rRNA from 1 species
AUGGAGGGGCUGAUACCGCUGGUGUACAGAGCAGUGGCGGAGUACAGGAAGAGGAGGCAGCAGCAGCAGCUGCUCGCUCUGGGUCUGGGCAGCAGCUGCCUCCAGCGCUACAACGACCAGCCACCGUCGCGUGCGCUGCUGUUCUGCGACUCCGCCAUGUCGCCGGCAAGGGCACUCAUGUCGCCGCUACUCCGCUCACCGCCGUCGCGGCGCCACUGCGCUGCGCAGGUUAGAGUCGUGGUCAUGGCCAAGGAGAAUUAA